GGGCUGGCUUUGGCAGCUCAUGCGCUAAGACUGGAAUGAUGCAGAGAAGAUAAGCCCGGGUCCUCUGCAAGGAUGACAAGAAGAUCUGUGAAGCUUUCUAAAGCCAC